UCCAGCCCCGGGAGUCAAAACGCCAUCUGUUGAUGGGGCCCCGCCAAAGCUGACAUAGACAGGUCCAGCCUCCAGGUGCCCCCACACCGUUUUCUUGCAUUAUGAAGCUGAGCGGCUUCUUUCUACUCUCUGUGAACAUCCUCCUUUGCCUCUGAAUGACCCAGCCUGGAGUCUUGAGGAGUGCAGCUGCACGGAAACCGGGAUAUUGCCCAGAGUUUGAUCUUGACUGCCCUUUCACUCUCUUACCUAUGCGCUGGCGUGAUAAGAGUUGCAGGGGGUCAAGAAGUGUUGCUACUACAACUGUCGGCAUCAGUGUAUGGAGCCCUGGUGGACUUUGGAUUGAGGCAAAACGCAGGCUGACAGUGAUGAAGCUGAUGUUCGUAACACUGCAGAAAAAGUGCUGAUAGAUGACAUGGUGAAAAAGUGUGAUGGGCUUAUUGAAGGACUGAAGCAGCCUGUAUUCAUACCAAAACAAGAAAUCAUGUAAGUUUAAAAAUCAACAAGAAAUUUCUAAGACAAAAAACAUUGUUAAUGAGAGAGAUGACUCUGGAGAAAACAUUUUUAAAAGUCAUCCAGCAGAAUGCCUCCUCAUCUCUAGAGGAUCCACUUCCUGGUCCCUCAAUUGCUUGUGAUGUCUCUUUUCACCUACAAAAAUAAAAUACAGUGACCAAUAAUCGUUUAAUCAAAACACAGCAUCGUAGAUGGAGACUGAAAUCCUGCUGCUGUUGCUUCUUGCUGUUGUUUAACAGCUGGGGCAGGUAUUUUGGUGAUGCUACUGUGCUGCUUAGUUACCCUGAACACAUUAUUUUCACAGUAUUAAUGGUAUGUCGUAUUUUUAUUGUUAAAUAUUUAUGGGUGAAUAAGUGUAAUAAAAUGAUUGCUUAUUGGUAGCAUAUAAAUUCGAGUCAGAUACAAUGGUGAUACUAAACAAUCACAGAUUGUCCACAUGGGCGGCUGAGAUAGGGACAACUUUCUUUCUGAUGUUUCAGUGUAUACAAACUUUGUUUCAUGCAGGAAACCGGUAAAAAUAUUGCAUAAAAUUACCUUCAGCCUAUGUGUAUAAGGUAUAUGUGAAACACAGAUAAUGUUUACACUUGCCUCUCAUCCCUAAGAUAUCUCAUUAUUUAUAUGCAAAGAUUACAAAAUGUGAAAAUAUCCAAAAUUUGAAAAAUUUCUGGUCCUAAGAAUUUUGAAUAAUGGAUUCUUAAACUUAUUCUCCCUCCUUUUAUGAAGGAGCAGAUUUUACUCCACCGUUGUGAAAGUAGUUCCCUCUGCUGUAUGGUUUUUGUAUAGGCUUGCCAUCAAAUAAGUGAACUUCUAAUGUUCUGUCAUUAUUUUCUCAUUUAUCAUGAAGAGAUAAGUGACUCUUUCACACAUUCUAUAGCCAAUACGAAGAUAAUCAUAACAUUUUCCCCUGUACUCCAUUAAUGAGAAGUAUCCCAUUGAUUUACUUUUAAAUGUUACACCAAUCAUAAAUUGUUGACAUAAAACCUUACUUGUGUAUGAUGUUUCAUCAUUUUUAUAUAUGACCAAAUUCCCUGUGUAAAGUUUUGUUUAGGAUUUUUGCCUUUAUGUUUAUAGCAAGGCUGGAAAAUUGUUUUCCUUUCAUGUAAUAUCCUUCUCAUGUUUCGGUAUCACAGAAUUGCAGUGCAUAUCAAAUUAGUUUGGAAACAGAAAGGUCAGUGUGUGGGGUUGCAAACAAACAUCUUGAAAAUAUGAGUGCAGACACUUUAAAUAUUUAAAGUACAGACACUUUAAAUAUGAGUGCAGGCACUUGAAAAUAUGAGUGCAGGCAUAUUAAAUCAGUUGGGAGGGAUUUUGUUUUUGUAAAUUUGGACUGAAACUCAGUGAGGACAUGCCAAUUCAGAGUUAGAAGAAAACAGCAGAUUUACACAGGGAAAACACUCAACGUGUGGAGGUAGCCCCAAGUUUGUGCUAGAAAGAAAGGUCGGUGUUGGUAAAUAGAGCAGCUACUCCAGAGAGCUUUCCCUCAUCAUCUCUCUGCCUCCCACAUCAGGUCCCAAUUCUUCUGUGUGCAUUAAUAAAUCUACUUCUUACUAUUGCUGAAGUCAGAUAUGUUUUUAGCUACCAAGCAAGCAGGAGGAACAUCCAUUUUUAGAAUAGUGUAGAGAGGACAUGAAGGUUUAUCUGGCCCAGAUUCACAUUCCAAAAUGACUUCAAGUUAGUCUUUUGAAUCCAUCAACUAAUGAAGUUUUUACACAGUCAUGAAGACAUAAAAGCAGGAAUUAAGGAAAAAAGCAUUCAUUAUAAAACUUAAAUUUCAGUCCCAUGGUGCACCAUGAAUUGACACCAUCAUGAAAGCAUUUGAAACUAUAAAACUCACUGAUAGAACCAAAACACAAGGAAGAAAGAGAAAGGAAUCAAACCUUAUUAUUACAGAAAACCACCCAACCACAAAAAUAAACAAUAAGAAGGGAAGUAAAGAGCAAAGGAUAUACAAAAACAACCAGGAAACAAUCAAUCAAAUGAUAGGAGUAAGUACUCACCUGUCAGUAAUAACCCUGAAUAUAAACAGAUUAAAUUCCCCAUUUUAAAAAUAUAGACUGGCUAAAAGGAUUAAAAAACAAGACCCAACUAUAUAGU
rnacentral:lncRNA from 1 species